ACUUCUAUCAUCCAACUGUUUGAUCGGUGGCAUUCUUCCCACCAGGAUGAUGUUGAAUUUACCCAAGCCCUUCAAUUCCACGAUCACUUCUUCCUUGGUACCCAUCCUCUUCUCUGCGUAAUUGAUUGAUGGGUUCGACGUAACAAUCUUGUUCUUGAACUGGGAAAUGGUAAUCUCAUCGGUGACAUCGAUGAAUUAAUACGUUUGGUUCAUCGUUAUAUCUUCGAAAGAAAAGCACGAAAACUCCGAUUCCCGGAUGUUCGGCGAUUCUGGAUCCGCCUAUGAAUACGACUGCAACAUUGAAAGAUAUUUCACUGGAGAAGACUUGAGAUGAUCCUCCGAGGCCACGGUCGAUGAGGAUCCCGACGGAACAGGUGGCGUGAAGUAAUACUUUCUGGUUCAGAUGUUAGUAGGAAUUCGAUCCCUAAAGACUCCAUAUCGUCGGCGAACCUUUGGUAUUUGUGAAAUGGAAGGAUUAUUAACGCCGCACAUUUCUGCUGAGAACUGUCGACGAUAUCCUCGUGGAUGUCUACGAGAUCGGAGAUCACCAUCAUGGAACGGAUUUUAACAUGGUUGAGUUGGUCGAAAGAUUUGAAUGCGACAGCGAUGGCGACGUUUUCUCCUUUAGAUCGACGAUUGUUCCAGAACGGAAGACCAUUAUUACGACGGGCCUUGUUUACCAACGAGAUAUCAGAAGGUAUUUCUGAGAGAUCCAUGAGGUGCAUGAAAUACAUAGUAAUCCCACGGCGAAGCAUUCCACGGGAGGACUCUACGAGGUUAAUCAUCCCAGAAAUUUCACGCAUGGUGUGGAAACGUGCUACGAAACGUAGCUCGUUUUCGAAGUCAGUACCUUGGACGGUCCGGUGCUUGUUUGAAAACUCCCGUAACUACCGGGGUGGGUGAUAAAGGUUGUGAAAAGAGCCAUGGUAACCAGAAUCGCAAAUGACUCGUCGUUCAGGACCCCACGGUCUUUCCCAAUGUUAAGCACGAUGAUCUCGACGAGCCCCUUUGCGUUCAUGAGGAACCCCAGAGCGACCGCUUAAUCAUUCGUCGAAAUCUUAAGAAUCAUGGAAAUAACGAUCGUUCCGACAAUCUUACCGAAGCAGGCGGUGACGAUGACUAACAUUAGAAGGCCCCAAGAUACCGGUCCGCUCAUCGUGGCUAUGUUUGUUUUCAGACCACUGAAGACGAAGUAGAGAGGUAGGAAAAUAAUGGAGAUGAGAUUUUAGAUCUUUUCUAUGAGAACUCCGGCGAGGGGACCUUUUUUAGGAAUGAUGAUCCCGAUUAUAAAAGCCCCGAACAGAGCAUGGAUUCCGAUCAUGUCGGUGUUGAAUCCACCCACAAGAACUUUGAGUAGAGUUAUACAUAUAUGAAUUUCUUUCACUUUCUCUCCAUUAGGUGAUUUGAAGGCCAACCAAAUGAUAAAUGGACAGAUGACCACCGUAGCAAAGACGACGAAGCCGAUUCUACAAAGAAAAACCAACAGACUUAUAAGAGGUGAUCCAGAACCCGAGAGUGAAACCACAAGAGCGAGUAUAUAGCUUUCGACAAUUGCUAUCAAUAUAGUUUUCUUUCCUGUGUGACGAAAUGCACGAAGAUCGAGUUCCAGACCGACGAGAAAAAGGAAGAACAACAGACCGAUGUUCUCGAUGGUGUCCAAGUUGAUCAUGCUACUAUCGGGAAAUAUAGUGUUCAUGUACACUGUACUUCGCCCCAUCCCCGACGGACCGAGAAGAACUCCUCCCUGUCAACAAACAAACGUCAAGAUCGUCGGAAAAUUCGAAAAUACAUGCAUGAAUUAUUAAAAAAAUUAAAAACGUACGAUGAUCUCGGCAACAACACGUGGUUGUCGUAAUGGUUUAAAAAUAUAAGAGAUGAUUCUGGUGACCGCAACAACGACGACGAUCUGUAAAAUUAUUAAAGGCAAAGAGAAAUCCAACGGAUUGUCUCCUUGAAAAGAUCCAUUUGACGUUGCUUUCUUCUUCGAUUGAAGAAUGCACGUUGUCGUAUCCAACAUCCAGCUCUUCGUCAUGUUCACCGCCAUGAACUUCCACUUGAUCUUCUGAUAUAACUCUUUUUGUUUAAUUUCUUUCAUUGAUCGAUGGAUGGAGGGGUUUCUUUAAAUGGGUCUUUGUUCUCUCCCUAACCAUCCAUCUAAAUCUCACACUAGAGGUGGUCUUGCAUUGGGUCACCCUCACCCCUAGUCUUCGAUUGUUGACGUGAUCAUUUAUGAGAUAUCAUUCAUUCUACAAUUAUCAGUUUUUUGUGAACUCGUUUUUGCUAGUGGUAGCGGUCAACCGGAUUCAAUCUUAUCACUUUGUUAAAUAUAGUUAGUUAGUAGUUUUUUAAUUCUAUAAAUAAUAACAUGGGUUAUCAUGUAAAGGCUUGACUUUUGAUUUUGUCAUUGGAUGAUUAGUUUGAAUAUCAAAUUAUUUGAUUAGAGUAAUUGUCAUUGUUGACUCUUCAACAUGGUAUCAGUUGAGUAUUUUUGAGUCUUGACAUUUACGUUUUUCUCCUCAAGCUGUUGCGAUUUUUUCUUUCUUGACCAAAAUAAAAAAAAGAAGGGAAAAGCUUCCGCGUCAUCUCGUUUCAGUGCGAUUUCGUUUUUCGAGCGAUUUCGUUGCGAUCCCGUGCGUCGUCUCGUUUCAGCCGGCGGCGUCGUCGUCGUUUCGAGCGAUUUCAGUCGUCGUCGUCGCGUUUCAUUGCGUCGCCUCGUCUUGUUCUUCCGCGACUGCAUCGCCUCGUCGUCUGACUUCGCGAUUCCUCGCCUCGUCGCCGCUGAUCCAAUCAUUCGUUGUCGCUGAUUCCGCGAUCCGUUUCAGUCAGUCGUCGUCUGAUUUUCGUCGCCUCGUCGCUGCGUGCUCUUGAUUUCAGUCACUGUGAUUUUCGUCGUUUGCCCCUGUGAUUUCAGUCACUGUGUUUUUUUCGUCGCUACUUCUUGAUUUCCGGUGAUUGUGCGCUCCUUAUUUUCUUGAUCUCAGAAGAUGGUUUCCUCUUCAUCAAAUCAAUUUGACGAUCUUCACAAGUGCAAUGUUGCACAUUGGAUUAGGGUUCUUCUUGAUCUUCAUCAGUCUAGGUAUGCAAUUAACAUUCUUGGCAAAAACAAUAUGUUAAACUGUAAACCUUGUAAAUACCCAGUUCUUCCAAAUUCAAAACUAUCUAAAGAUGAAGGGACAUUUGCACAAGAUGUUACUGGUUUUAGAGCAUUAGUAGGCUCUUUACAAUAUCUGUCACUCACCAGGCCAGAUCUCACUUACUCCAUUAACCAAGUCGCUCAAUUUGUGAAUGAACCAAAAACAUCACAUUGGGUUGCUGCUAAGAGAAUUCUAAGGUACAUCAAAGGCACACUUAGUCAUGGUCUGUAUUUUUCCAAAAAUAAAGAUGAUCAUCACAGAAUGAUUGGCUUCUGCGAUGCCGACUUUGCAGGUGAUCCAGAUACAAGGAAAUCCACUACUGGAUAUUGCCUAUUCAUUGGUGGAAAUUUGAUUACCUGGUCAUCAAAGAAACAAAAUACAGUUUCCAGAUCCAGUGCAGAGUCAGAAUAUAGAGCUUUGGCAUCUCUAGCAGCUGAGAUGAGAUGGUCACAUUUCGUUUGUAGGGAUUUAGGACACAAACUUAAACACAUCCCACUCAUACACAGUGACAACAAUUCAGCCAUUUUUAUGGCUAAAAAUCCAGUAAUAAAGAAGGUGGAUCUAAACAUAUUGAGACUGACAUUCAUUUUGUCAGAGAAUUAGUCACUAAAGGUUUUCUAGAAAUCAGACAUGUGAGCUCUUCUCAACAACUGGCAGACAUUUUUACUAAAGCAGUAUCUUAUGAUAUCUUCCCAAAUCUUUGUAGAAGAUUAAAAAUGAAAUUUACUCUAUGAUUUUCUCUCUGAAAUAUGUAUCUUAUUUUUUUUUUGUUUGUUGUUUCGGAAUAUCAUAAUAAUAAUUUGAUAAUAAUAUUCUUUGUGAUGAUCUACGAAUUCUGCUUUCUACUAUAUUUUUUUUUCUUCUCUUCUUUUCUUUCUGCUAUAUAUAAAAAAAAAACUCUGAUACUGCUAUAAAUUGUUGUGUUUACAGACGAUUAAGAGGACUAGCUCUAGCAGAUGCUUGUCUACUAAGGAUACUCUAAAGAUGGCUAUAACAAGUUUGUUUUGCUUGAAAUUUCUUUAUAUUUCUUAGUGGACAGUUAAGCAAGGAAAGGUUUUCCCAGAAUCAAAAUAAAGAUGCAAAAGAAUGAGAAGCACGCUGAGUUUUUAAUCCCUCUUUUGCUAUACUACACUUAAGGAAACAAAGCAUACAAAGAUUGGGAGGGGAUGUCAACCGGAUUCAAUCUUAUCACUUUGUUAAAUAUAGUUAGUUAGUAGUUUUUUAGCUCUAUAAAUAAUAACAUGGGUUAUCAUGUAAAGACUUGACUUUUGAUUUUGUCAUUGGAUGAUUAGUUUGAAUAUCAAAUACUUGAUUAGAGUAAUUGUCAUUGUUGACUCUUCAACAGUAGCCACAACUGUUCUUCGUCCUUCUCCGCAAAUGGCAGAAAUAAGCAAUCUCUUUUCUGGCGGCUAAUUCUCUCAACCAACCAUUAGAUAGAUCUUAUUCUGCCAGUUGUGGUUCCCCUUGUAAUGCAGUGCUCUGACCACCUUCAACAGAU
rnacentral:lncRNA from 1 species